ACCUCCUUGGCUGGGCGGUUGCACCGUCCAGCACCCGAGUGUUGGGCGGUGGCACCGCCUGGCUGGGCGGUGGAACCUCCAGCACCGGGAACCCUAAGAGAUUUCAAAUUUUGAAACCCAAAAUUUGAAUCCUCUUGAGGCCUAUAAAUACCCCUCUAAUCUCAGCUGAGGUUACAACUUUUGAGAAGCAUUUUGAUUGAGAGAAAAGUCUUAGAAAGUCUUAGCAAGUCUUGUUUUCAAUUUGCUAGAGAGUUCUCCUCCUUCUUUCGUAUUGAAAAUUUGUAAGAGGUUGAGCUGCUUGUAAAAGGUUGUAAGAGGGGUGUUUACCCUUCCAUUUCAAGAGACUUGCUAGUGGAAGGUGGGAGCCUCAUCGAAGAGGGGCCUCGCAAGUGGAGUAGGUCAUUUGACCGAACCACUCUAAAAAUCGGCGUAAUCUCUGGUUUGCUUUUUAUUAUUGUCAUUUACAUUACUGCAAAUCUUCUUACUGCUUUAGUUUGUAUUACUCUUGCUGCGCAACUUUAAGAAUACGCCUUCAAGUUAAAUUUCUCAAGUUUCGUUCUUAACGUACGAAUGAUUUUGAUUAAAAUCGAAGUUUUAAUCCGCUGCACUAAUUCACCCCCCCCCCUCUUAGUGCCACUCCG
rnacentral:lncRNA from 1 species